CUCAACUUCGCCAUCUGUGAAGGUAUCUCCAGGGGUAAAUUGAUUAAAUAGCUACCUCUUUUGAAUUGUCAACUGUCUAUUGUAUUAGAGGUCCUUUUAUGAUGCAUAUACUGACAUUUAUUUGUAUAUGCACAGCGUAAUUAUAUAUAUUUUUAUCUUGGUAGACGACCGAUUGCCUGCUGAUUUGUGAGCUCGACUUCGACAUGUGAAGGUAUCUACACCAACAAUUACGAAGUUCAUUAGUGAAUCUAACUUUUAUUUAGUUUAUUUAUGUUGGAUUACUAGGAUCAUUUAGGUUGAUUUAAGGACGGGUUUUAUGAUGCGAUAGCUAGUAGAAAUAACAGUGCGUUUGUUUAAUUAUAUCCUGGAAAGGGUGAUGUUCAGCACAUGAAGCCCUACAGAUGCCGCCGCUUCAACAAUGCUGAUUAUGAUGGGCGGUGAAUUUAACCUUUGCCUUAUUAGGUCCUCCAGUCGCCCCAUCAGUCCCUGGCAGUCUGGUCCCUGGAGCAGCUGGCCCUGGAUCACCUGCACCUGGAUCACCUGCCCCUGGAUCACCUGCCCCUGGAUCACCUGCCACUGGAUCACCUACCCCUGGAUCACCUGCCCCUGGAUCACCUGCCCCUGGAUCACCUGCCCCUGGCAAAGUGGCCUCUGGAUUGCUCUCUGUGUCUCCUGUCAUGUCCUUUUCAUCGCUCUUGAAAUCCACCUCAAUUUCUCCCUCAAUCUUUGUAAUAAUUACAAGGUAAUUUUGCUGUUAUAUGUAUUUUCCCUUUGCAUUUGCAACUACUGUCAUCUCCAAUGUAAGCCAAUGUAAGAACAUGUAUUAAAGCAAAUCAUUUCUGUAAUGUGAAUUAAAUCAUCUGCCACAAUCAGAAACCAAUAAAAUGUAUAAAUGGAUCUACCGGCAAUUGUUAAUUGGGUAGAAAUGUGUCGAUUAUCUACAUUGUGUGCAAAUCCUCAGAGAAUCCCUGACCUCUGGUUGUUUUUUAAACUGAAUGUACAAAUAUGAAUUAUGUAUUCUCAUUAGGAGUGUAGUCUAUCCUUGAAUUACAUGAAAUGGGGAAUAUUGUUAGCUGCAUGGAUCAUACCGAAGUUUAAUUUGGUGAAAUAUGUGUGGUCCGUUGCACUUGGUUCGGG
rnacentral:lncRNA from 1 species